rnacentral:rRNA from 1 species
ACGAAAACGAAAAAUAAAUAUAUUUUUUUCUCUAUUGAGUGAAAUUUUUACAAGUUUUGUAAGAUCACGAAACACGCUUAAAAUUCAAUAAUUCUAUAUCCUAAGUUUCAUAAUAUUAACAUAAAGCGGAAGGAGUUGUAAAAUUUUGUUUGAAAAGAAAACAAAAUGACUACGACGUUUCAAAACCGAUCUCGGGCGCGCGACGGUCGAUUGUUGAGAAAAUCAGUCUCGGCCAGUGACAGAAAAGUGGCCAGCAGUAUGUUAUAGAUUCGGUGUUUAGAAAGUGUUUGAAAAGACUGUCGAUGUUUGGAAAGUGGCAUCUUUCAAACAAAUGUUUUGUCGAUAUUUAUAGGAGCCCCUUUCCCGGGGGUCGUACGGUGGGUCUGUCCGGACUCCCGUCGUCUGACACUGGAGGACUUAUGUUCCGCGGAGCCAUCGGUCGCGGGAGGUCUAACCCGCCUCGUCGACGGGAGUGCGUUCCCACGAGGACUCGCGCGGAGUGACGGGACAGGGGGGCUAGAGCUCGAGUUUACUCGCUCGCCCGUCCGUCUUGAAACACGGACCAAUGAGUCUAACAUGUACGCUCGACUAAACUCUACGGCGCAAUGAAAGUGAAAAGGCGAACUCGUGUGGCAACACACAUUUUCGUCGGAGGAAGGAUGGAUUUUUUCGGAGGUUUCGAACUCGCGAGGGUUCGUUCUCCCCCGUCCCGCACUCCCGGGGAGUGGUUCGCCAAGCACCAAGAGCGUACACGUUGGUACUCGAAAGAUGGUGAACUAUGCAUGGCCAGGAUGAAGACAGGAGAAACCCUGGUGGAGGUCCGUAGCAAUUCUGACGUGGAAAUCGAUCGUCUGAGCUGUGUCUAGGGGUCAUAGACCAAUCGAACCAUCUAGUAGCUGGUUUCCUCCGAAGUUUCUCUCAGGAUAGCUGUACUCGGAAACUUGAAAUAAUCUUUAAAAAAACUAUUGAGUCUCAUGCGCUCUUACAGGUCUUAGUACCGAAACGACCCUAACCUAUUAUCAAACUUUAAAUGUGAGAGAUCUCCGCCAUCCUUGAAACUGGCAAUUUAUUUUACAUAUUGAUGGUGGAGAAAGAAGGAUAUGAGAUGUCCUGUGGGUCAUUUUUGGAAAGUAGAACUGGCGCUAUGGGAUGAACCAAACACCGAUUUAAGGCGCCAAAAUAGAAACUUAUGGGAUACCAUGAAGGACGUUGUUUCCUUAAAACAGCAGCUGUGUAACAACUCACCUACCGAAGCAACUAGCCCUGAAAAUGGAUGGCGCUGAAGCUCGUGCGUAUACUCAACCGCCGGUCGGCUUGGCUAGGUAGCCCCACACGUCCCGCGUCGGAGGAGGACCUGUGUGUCUCAGGAUCCCUGUUAAGCCCNGCGACGGUCAGCGCAGAACGGUUUGGGUGUGAGCCUGCCUGGAGCCGCCAUCAAUGCAGAUCUUGCUAGUAGUAGCAAAUACUCUUUCGAGAUCCAGGAGGUCUGAUGCGGAGAAGGGUUUCGUGUGAACAGCCGUUGCACACGAGUCAGUCGACCAUUGGCCCUAAGAGAAGUCUGAAGUUGAUGAGGGCAGUUGCCGAUAAGUAAUCUUAUUUCUGUUAAUGGCAGCCCCAUCUUGGACAAAAGGGAAACCGGGUCCUAUUCCGGAAACCGGUAGCGAAACCGAUCCUUGUCGGGCCCUCCGUCUUUUGCGGCGGCAUGUUCGUUGUGGGAACCCAAACUGGCUCGGAGAAGUCGUCUGGAGGUCAAGGAAGAGUUUUUUUCUGUUUGAGCGUUAUGAAUGGAACGCGUAGAGCACCGCUGUUGCGGAUGUGUCCCGACAUGCCCCUCGGACCUUGAAAAUCCGAGUGAGAGCCACGUGGAGGUGUCGCGCUGAUUUGUACCUAUAUCCGCAGCAGAUCUCCUAGGUGAAAAGCCUCUAGUCGGCAGAAGAAUGAAGGUAAGGGAAUUCGGCAAGUUGGAUCCGUAACUUCGGGAUAAGGAUUGGCUCUGAGGAUCGGGGCGUGUCGGGCAUGAUCGAAAUUCCGAAGAGGGCUAUCGAGCAAGACCUGGGUGAUGCGCGUUCGUCUCGCGGGACGUCGCGAUGACCCCGGUCCCUCGCCUUAGCCUCCCGCGGAUCUUCCUUGCUCCCUGAGCCGGAUCGCAAGUGAAAGGAUUCGCGUUCCGUGUUCUUUUCCCCGCUCUUUCACUGGCGGAUGAGGGGGUUCACGGACGAGUCGUUUCACACCUCACUCGCUCUCGGCAUCACCCUUCGGCCGCCGAAUAACGAUCAGCUCAGAACUGGCACGGACCAGGGGAAUCAGACAAAGCAUCGCGACGGCCCGAGAGGAUGAUGACGUGAUGUGAUUUCUGCCCAGAGCUCUUAAUGUCAAAGAGAAGAAAUUCAAGGAAUCGCGAGUGAACGGUGGGAGUAACUAUGACUCUCUUAAUGACGCGGGAGUUUUGGGAGAGCCGUGGAUGCUCCUGCCGAGAGCCCCCACUGCGCUUGCGCAGUGGUCAAGGGGUCGAUGUCUGUGGGGAAAAAAGAGGCCAUGUCAUCUGCCCGUUAUGUCGUCUCAGGAAUGCGACUCCAAGUCCCCAUUCCGAGGGUCCGGCAGGUAAGCACAGCCACCCGAGCGCAGAUAAAUGUCCAAUUUGCCUUGCUUGGACCGAACUACGGGAAGGGGUAUUACUCCGAAAGGAGGAAUAAGGACUCCAAGGCCUAACAAACCGAGGAUAUCCUAAAACAUUUUGUAGCAACUAGUAAUUACUUAGCCUCGGUCCCGGGAGCAUCUGACUCUAUGCCCCGGGUUAACGUAUGGGGAAUCCUAGACGACCAGGUGCUAAAUAGCAAAGAAUAUGAUAUCGGUACUCCCUUCGUGGUGCAGACAUGUAGAAUUUGUGAUGUAGCCGGUAUGAAAUACUUAGGCAUUACUUUGAAAGACCUUCUGGGGCACGUAGAUGAGAAGCACCACGAAAGGGGGAUAAAUUUUGUUUGUAUAACCUGCAAAAAGGUUCUCGGGCCCUAAUGGGAGACCUCGCGUAGAGCAAAAGGGCAAAAGCUUGCUUGACCUAGGCGUUCAGUACACGCAAGUGCUGCGAAUGCAUGGCCUAUCUAUCCUUUUGACUCCGAGAGUUUCUGCAAGAGGUGUCCGCCGCAAUUAUAACAGGUUUGUGGCGACCAAGCGUUCAUAGCGACGUCACUUUUUGAUCCUUCGAUGUCGGCUCUUG